rnacentral:tmRNA from 1 species
GGGGCUGAACGGUUUCGACUUUGGACGAUUGAUCCAGGGGAAGCGGGCCGAGGAUCCAGGGUUAUCUCGUUAACGAUCUCUGGAAACCAAUAAGUGCCAACGCAAAGCGCACUGACUUCGCUCUCGCCGCCUGAGGCGACCAGCGAAGGGUCAGACUGAGGGCGCCUCCGCCUCAGAUCCUGGCCUCAUCUAGGAGGCUUGCUGACCAGACCCGGCCACGGGGUCUGGUCGGGACUUUUACAGUGGCUGAGCCUGUCGGUGACAUGUCUGUCUGAGCACCGGGGCUGAGAAAGCGCUAGCACAGACUGCGCCCGGAGAAGACCUGAGUCACCGCCAGAGGACGCGGGUUCGAUUCCCGCCAGCUCCACCA